GAUGAAACGCUAGCGACAGGCCUAACACAUGCAAGUCGAGGGGCAGCACAUGAGUAGCAAUACGAUGGUGGCGACCGGCGCACGGGUGAGUAACACGUAUGCAACCUGCCUUCUACUAUGGGAUAACCCGUUGAAAGACGGACUAAUACCGUAUAAUACAGGGGCUCCGCAUGGAGAUAUUUGUUAAAGAUUUAUUGGUAGAAGAUGGGCAUGCGUAUGAUUAGAUAGUUGGUGAGGUAACGGCUCACCAAGUCAACGAUCAUUAGGGGUUCUGAGAGGAAGGUCCCCCACACUGGUACUGAGACACGGACCAGACUCCUACGGGAGGCAGCAGUGAGGAAUAUUGGUCAAUGGACGAGAGUCUGAACCAGCCAAGUCGCGUGAAGGAAGACGGUUCUAUGAAUUGUAAACUUCUUUUGUGCAGGAAUAAAGUGGGUUACGUGUAACCUUUUGUAUGUACUGUACGAAUAAGGAUCGGCUAACUCCGUG
rnacentral:rRNA from 1 species